GAUGAACGCUGGCGGCGUGCCUAAUACAUGCAAGUCGAGCGAACAGACGAGGAGCUUGCUCCUCUGACGUUAGCGGCGGACGGGUGAGUAACACGUGGAUAACCUACCUAUAAGACUGGGAUAACUUCGGGAAACCGGAGCUAAUACCGGAUAAUAUAUUGAACCGCAUGGUUCAAUAGUGAAAGACGGUUUUGCUGUCACUUAUAGAUGGAUCCGCGCCGCAUUAGCUAGUUGGUAAGGUAACGGCUUACCAAGGCGACGAUGCGUAGCCGACCUGAGAGGGUGAUCGGCCACACGGGAAAUGAGACACGGUCCAGACGCCUACGGGAGGCAGAAGUAGGGAAUCUUGCGCAAUGGGCGAAAGCAUGACGAAGCAACGCAGCGUGAGUGAUGAAGGUAUUCGGAUCGUAAAACUCUGUUAUAAGGGAAGAACAAAUGUGUAAGUAACUAUGCACGGCUUGACGGUACCUAAUCAGAAAGCCAAGGCUAACUACGUG
rnacentral:rRNA from 1 species